GAUGAAGAACGUAGCGAAAUGCGAUAAGUAAUGUGAAUUGCAGAAUUCCGUGAAUCAUCGAAUCUUUGAACGCACAUUGCGCCCCCUGGCAUUCCGGGGGGCAUGCCUGUCCGAGCGUCAUUUCUGCCCUCCAGCCCGGCUGGGUGUUGGGCGCUGUCCCCCCGGGGACACGCCUCAAAGGCAGUGGCGGCGCCGCGUCGGGUCCUCGAGCGUAUGGGGCUUUGUCACCCGCUCGGGACGGACUCGUCGGCGCUGGUCUUCCUCCAGGCGACCCUUCGGGGCUCGUCUUCCUUCGGUUGACCUCGGAUCAGGUAGGGUUACCCGCUGAACUUAAGCAUAUCAAUAAGCGGAGGA
rnacentral:misc_RNA from 1 species